GGAGGUUUAGGCUCAGUUGGGAGAGCAUCUGCCUUACAAGCAGAGGGUCAGCGGUUCGAGCCCGUUAACCUCCACCA
rnacentral:tRNA from 1 species